AGCGAACGCUGGCGGCAGGCCUAACACAUGCAAGUCGAACGAGCCCUUCGGGGCUAGUGGCGCACGGGUGCGUAACGCGUGGGAAUCUGCCCUCUGGUUCGGAAUAACUCAGGGAAACUUGAGCUAAUACCGGAUAAUGACUUCGGUCCAAAGAUUUAUCGCCAGAGGAUGAGCCCGCGUCGGAUUAGCUAGUUGGUGAGGUAAAAGCUCACCAAGGCGACGAUCAGUAGCUGGUCUGAGAGGAUGAUCAGCCACACUGGGACUGAGACACGGCCCAGACUCCUACGGGAGGCAGCAGUGGGGAAUAUUGGACAAUGGGCGAAAGCCUGAUCCAGCAAUGCCGCGUGAGUGAUGAAGGCCUUAGGGUUGUAAAGCUCUUUUACCCGGGAUGAUAAUGACAGUACCGGGAGAAUAAGCCCCGGCUAACUCCGUGCCAGCAGCCGCAGUAAAAC
rnacentral:rRNA from 1 species